rnacentral:misc_RNA from 1 species
GAUGAAGAACGCAGCGAAAUGCGAUAAGUAGUGUGAAUUGCAGAAUUCAGUGAAUCAUCGAAUCUUUGAACGCACAUUGCGCCCUUUGGUAUUCCAAAGGGCAUGCCUGUUCGAGCGUCAUUUGUACCCUCAAGCUUUGCUUGGUGUUGGGCGUCUUGUCUCUAGCUUUGCUGGAGACUCGCCUUAAAGUAAUUGGCAGCCGGCCUACUGGUUUCGGAGCGCAGCACAAGUCGCACUCUCUAUCAGCAAAGGUCUAGCAUCCAUUAAGCCUUUUUUUCAACUUUUGACCUCGGAUCAGGUAGGGAUACUCGCUGAACUUAAGCAUAUCAAUAAGCGGAGGA